AAGUCGUAACAAGGUUUCCGUAGGUGAACCUGCGGAAGGAUCAUUAACACGUCUAAACAACGUAUAACCAAACGCGAACUGUUUCGUUCCCGGGUUAGUUCUGAGUGACAUGUGAUUGAACGGUGUGAGAUUUAUUUCUCUUGAUCAUAUGUUAGUUGAUUAGUGUAAAAGCUAAUUGACAACUUGGAGCUAGCUGCGGUAGAUGAGUUUCGGCUGCAGGACCACACCCUGCCACUGCAGUUGAAGCGCCCCACUUUUUUCUUAUUUCUUACUGAUGUUGUACGUUUGCAUAUGAAUUCCUGGUUGUAUCAAUGCAAUUGGUUGAGUUCUAUGUAGAUGUCAUUUAUUCAAUAAUAAACAACUCUUAGCAACGGAUAUCUUGGUUCUC
rnacentral:misc_RNA from 1 species